AUUGAACGCUGGCGGCAUGCCUUACACAUGCAAGUCGAACGGCAGCACGGGUGCUUGCACCUGGUGGCGAGUGGCGAACGGGUGAGUGAUAUAUCGGAACGUACCUUAUUGUGGGGGAUAACGCAGCGAAAGCUGUGCUAAUACCGCAUAAUCCCUAAGGGGGAAAGCGGGGGACCGUAAGGCCUCGCGCAAUUAGAGCGGCCGAUACCUGAUUAGCUAGUUGGUGAGGUAAAGGCUCACCAAGGCAACGAUCAGUAGCUGGUCUGAGAGGACGAUCAGGCACACUGGGACUGAGACACGGCCCAGACUCGUACGGGAGGCAGCAGUGGGGAAUUUUGGACAAUGGGGGCAACCCUGAUCCAGCAAUGCCGCGUGAGUGAAGAAGGCCUUCGGGUUGUAAAGCUCUUUUGUCAGGGAAGAAACAGCAGCUCUAACACAGUUUGCGAAUGACGGUACCUGAAGAAUAAGCACCGGCUAACUACGUGCCAGCCGCCGCUGUAAAAC
rnacentral:rRNA from 1 species